AUGGUUGCAUGUGAUUUUGAUCUGAAUUUCACAUUUAUUUCAUGUGGGUGGGAAGGGUCCGCAUCAGAUGCAGGAGUUCUUCGUUCUGCUAUUAGCAAGGGGUUUCAUGUGCCAAAUGGAAAAUUUUAUCUCGUAGAUGGUGGAUAUGCAAACACGCCUUAUUUUCUUGCACCAUAUCGAGGAGUUCGGUAUCACCUGAGUGAAUUUAGGAGGCGGCGCUCAUCUAAUACGGGCUAUGCCGACCAUAGGGAGCUGUUCAACCAUACCCAUGCAAUCCUCCGGAACCACAUCGAAAGGAGCAUUGGUGUUCUGAAAAAACGUUUCCCUAUCUUGAAAGUGGGUAAUCACUACCCAAUAGAGUCACAAAUCAAGAUUCGGCGGCGUGUGUUGUAUUCCAUAACAUCAUUAGAGCUCAAAGUGGUGAUGAUGCAUGGUUGGAUCACCAACCACCGUUAA
rnacentral:rRNA from 1 species